UUGUCACACUCCUACGGGAGGCAGCAGUGGGGAAUAUUGCACAAUGGGGGAAACCCUGAUGCAGCCAUGCCGCGUGUGUGAAGAAGGCCUUCGGGUUGUAAAGCACUUUCAGUAGGGAGGAAGGUAGUGUAGUUAACACCUGCAUUAUUUGACGUUACCUACAGAAGAAGCACCGGCUAACUCCGUGCCAGCAGCCGCGGUAAUACGGAGGGUGCGAGCGUUAAUCGGAAUUACUGGGCGUAAAGCGCAUGCAGGCGGCCUGUUAAGUCAGAUGUGAAAGCCCCGGGGCUUAACCUCGGAAUUGCAUUUGAAACUGGCAGGCUAGAGUCUUGUAGAGGGGGGUAGAAUUUCAGGUGUAGCGGUGAAAUGCGUAGAGAUCUGAAGGAAUACCAGUGGCGAAGGCGGCCCCCUGGACAAAGACUGACGCUCAGAUGCGAAAGCGUGGGGAGCAAACAGGAUUAGAUACCCUGGUAG
rnacentral:rRNA from 1 species